rnacentral:rRNA from 1 species
AUUGAACGCUGGCGGCAGGCUUAACACAUGCAAGUCGAGCGAGCGGCGGACGGGUGAGUAAUGUCUGGGAAACUGCCUGAUGGAGGGGGAUAACUACUGGGACCGGUGGCUAAUACCGCAUACCAUCAGAUGUGCCCAGAUGGGAUUAGCUAGUAGGUGGGGUAAUGGCUCACCUAGGCGACGAUCCCUCGCUGGUCUGAGAGGUGGACCAGCCACACUGGAACGGAGACACGGUCCAGACUCCUACGGGAGGCAGCAGUGGGGAAUAUUGCACAAGGGGCGCAAGCCUGAUGCAGCCAUGCCGCGUGUGUGAAGAAGGCCUUCGGGUUGUAAAGCAAUUUCAGCGAGGAGGCGGUACUCGCAGAAGAAGCACCGGCUAACUCCGUGCCAGCAGCCGCGGUAAUAC